CUUGAACUAAGGAAGUGAGACCAAUCCAUUCGCCUGCUGUCUUCCCCCCGUGCAGCCACGAGCACCAGAUGAUCCUUACAGUUGAGAAGAAGCGUCUGGACAUUACUCCUCUUCUCCACUAAGGUCCUUCCGAGGUGCUCAUCCAACAUAAUGAGGAUCCUUCAUAUAAGCCUCGUGGCUCUGCUUUCCCUGGUCCUACUGGGAGAAGAAGUUGCUGGAGGUGCAUUCGAAGGUAAAUAUGCUGAUUUCUCGAUAUACUCCUCCCACCCCUGCAUACGCCCUUGUCAGGAUAGGAUCGGUGAUGAUUGCGUGGCAGAUACAAAAUGUUGUGAGGAGAACUUUCAAAACUGGUUGUACUAUGAUUGCUUGAGAAACUGGGAACAGGAUCUGGAUAAGUUGAUCCACCGGGGCCAUGAGUCACCAAAGAUUAUAGAAGGCGAUUUUAUCAUCCAGUAUUGGAGAUGAAAUCCAAGUCCUUUUCAUCUUGUGUCUUAUUGUUUCGAUCCAUUCAACAAAACAGGAACAAACAACUUCUCGACUUCCUUUCAGUAUCAGUUUAUUAGUUUCAAAAAUCUUCUUUUCAUGCUUCGGCACACAUUCUUUUUCCUUUCAUUUGUUACCAUAAUUUUAUUUAUAUCUUUCAUUCUAAAAUACACAGAAAUUCUAGAAAAAAAAAAACUAUAUCUUUAAGGACAUCAACUUCAGACCUUUCUAAUUCUUAAAUUAGCGACUUGAUGCAAUGUCUCUCAUAAUAGAUAAUCCCCCCGUAGUGGAGUAGUGCUUACAGUGCACCUCACGGGGUGCACUGUAGGCAUUACUAAAGGCUGUGUGCAGUGUCCCUUCGGCCACCAGCUGCAACCCCUUGCUUUCCUUUUACUGUCCCUCCUUUCAUAUUUUUUUCUUCCAUCUUGCAAUCCACCCUCUCCUAACAAUUAUUUUAUAGUGCAACUGCUUCGAGGUUUUCCUCCUGUUGUACCUUUCAAACCUACCUACUCUCAAUUUCCUUUCCAGCGCUGAAAGAACCUCGUAGGUCCCAGUGCUUGGCCUUUGGCAUAAAUCCUAUAUUGCAUUACAUUGCAUUGCAAUAGAUAAUUAAUCUGAGACUUUAAAAAACUCGGAAGAUGCUGCGUGUAGACCGCCUCUGAUGAUUGUGCUCAGCUCAGCCGAGAUUUUUCCGAUUCAUUUUACUCUGAUGCCUGAACCCAAAAAUUAGAACAUUUCAUCGAAAAUCUGACGAUUCCGCCAUCAAUAUAACGAAGAGACUCUUCUUCUGUUACGUCAGAAAUUGACUCCUUCAAGUUUUCCUUCCUUUCUCUUUCUCAGUCAGAUUCUUCUCUUCCCUAAAAUAUGACUUCAUUUUCAAGAUACCGAUAUAUCUGAUGAAAUACAGGUUAAUGUCAAAAAAACCCUCUCUGCAUCCACAUGUAGACUUAAAGAAAAAUGUCAAAUUUUCGGACGAACAGAGGCACAAUGAAUCCAGGUAAAAAAAGUCACAGGAAAAAAAGGUGACGCCAGACCAAAAGUCUGAAAGGUACUUGUUUACCCUUAUGGUUAACAACGCUUGAAUAUUACGGUUAUUGGUAAAUAUUAACGUGGGGUCAAUGUGGGGAAGGCUAUAUUCACAAGGGUGACGCCACCUAUGCUGGCCAGUCAAACAGAUCUGGUCCGGACAAUAUCUUGCGAACAUUAUGGCAUUUCUCCUCGAACUGGUUGCUUACUGGCCAAGGCCAACCACAUCACCGGUUUUACAGCAUAUAGAGGAAUGUAACACAGGUAGUAGACCUUUAGAAAAUCUUAAAGUUCUUGGUAUAUACUUUUUAUAAAGAAUCGAGAAUCUGAGUCGAUCGAAUUUUUUUUUUUUUCAGAAAAAUAGAUCAUAACCUUGACAAUUCAUCUUAUAAUGUCAACUGUUCUAUUUCUGGUUUACCCACUAUCUCUAUUAUCGUCACCUUUAAUCAGCUUUGUCAGCCAAUAAUGAUUGCAUUAUCUUUUAACUAUUGAAAUAUACUGUAAUGUCUCUUUUAGGCUUCUAAAUUUUAUUGUGAAGAAAAAGCGAAACUCGUCGCAAAUC